rnacentral:rRNA from 1 species
UACGGGGGGGGUAAGCGUUGUUCGGAAUUACUGGGCGUAAAGGGCGCGUAGGCGGCCACCGCAAGUCGGAUGUGAAAGCCCCUGGCUCAACUGGGGAAGUGCACCCGAAACUGAGUAGCUUGAGUGCAAAAGAGGGCCGCGGAAUUCCCGGUGUAGAGGUGAAAUUCGUAGAUAUCGGGAGGAACACCGGUGGCGAAGGCGGCGGCCUGGGUUGACACUGACGCUGAGGCGCGAAAGCGUGGGGAGCAAACAGG